rnacentral:rRNA from 1 species
AUUGAACGCUGGCGGCAGGCCUAACACAUGCAAGUCGAGCGGCAGCGGAAGGAAGCUUGCUUCCUUGCCGGCGAGCGGCGGACGGGUGAGUAAGGUAUGGGGAUCUGGCCGAAGGCGGGGGAUAACCACUGGAAGCGGUGGCUAAUACCGCAUAAUCUCUAAGGAGCAAAGUGGGGGACCGUUCAGGCCUCACACCUUCGGAUGAACCCAUAUGAGAUUAGCUAGUAGGUGGGGUAAUGGCUCACCUAGGCGACGAUCUCUAGCUGGUCUGAGAGGAUGAUCAGCCACCCUGGGACUGAGACACGGCCCAGACUCCUACGGGAGGCAGCAGUGGGGAACAUUGCACAAUGGGCGCAAGCCUGAUGCAGCCAUGCCGCGUGUAUGAAGAAGGCCUUCGGGUUGUAAAGUACUUUCAGUCGUGAGGAAGGUGUUAAGGUUAAUAACCUUAGCAAUUGACGUUAGCGACAGAAGAAGCACCGGCUAACUCCGUGCCAGCCGCCGCCGUAA